UGAUCACGUGACUGAUAAUGCGGAAGCAUGGCUCGGUCCACAAACAAGUGGUCUUGAGCUGAAUGGUGCAACAAUGUUGUUUUAUUGUGCGUUUGUCUUAUUUUCCCUGAAUGUCAAAGAUGAUGUGCUGUGUGUUCAAAGCAAGCCAGAACUCUCUGUUGGCGCAGAACCUGAGACGAUCGUUCCGCUGGCGGCAGAGAGCUCGAGCUGUGGUUGCCACAACCUGAAGAGAGAAGCAGUUGUGGAUAUCGAGAAGGAAAGCUCCAUAAUAACAGAAAACCCUGCUGUCAAAUACUCGAAGAAAUCAAAUGAAAGGCAUACAGACACUCAGACGAAUGGAGAACAAACUGAUACUCGUAGUCAGAUGGUCCUGAUCCCAGGAGGGGAGUUCCUGAUGGGUACAGACAGUCCUGGCAUCCCCCAGGAUGGGGAGGGUCCCCAGAGAAGGGUGCACCUGGACCAUUUCUACAUGGAUGCUCAUGAGGUCAGCAACCGCCACUUCCAGAGCUUCAUCAAUGCCACGGGCUACAUCACCGAGGCAGAGAGGUUUGGAGAUUCGUUUGUGUUCGAGGGGGUGUUGAGUGAGGAGGUCAAAAGCCAGAUAUCCCAGGCAGUGGCUGCUGCCCCCUGGUGGUUGCCUGUCAGAGGAGCAGACUGGAGGCACCCUGAGGGCCCCGACUCCAGCAUCACAGACAGCAGGCUGGACCACCCUGUGCUGCAUGUGUCAUGGCAGGACGCUGUGGCCUACUGCUCCUGGGCCCACAAGAGACUACCCACAGAGGCUGAGUGGGAGUAUGCCUGCAGAGGGGGCCUACAGGAGAGACUUUACCCGUGGGGGAACAAACUGAAACCUAAAGGACAGCACUACGCCAACCUCUGGCAGGGAAAGUUCCCCACACACAACUCAGAAGAGGACGGGUACACUAAAACCUCACCAGUGAAGUCAUUUCCUGCAAAUGGCUAUGGCCUGUACAACAUGGUAGGGAAUGCAUGGGAGUGGACAUCUGACUGGUGGACUGUACACCACACCACAGAUGAACGGCACAACCCGGCAGGUCCACCAUCAGGCACAGACCGAGUGAAGAAAGGAGGCUCCUACAUGUGCCAUAAGGACCUGCUUGAUGGUACCGAUGAUCCUCCACCAGGUGGACUGUUCAGGAUGUUCUUUGCUGUCAAGACGCCAGACCAGCCUAGGGCAGACCUGACCUGCAGGCAAGAUAUCUCCACGUCUUGUACACCUGUGGGGGGUCCCAUGGUACAGUGUGGUCGAUGGUUCCGAGGAUGCGGGUAGCAAAGUACUGUUUGAAGUAGCUGGCUUUUCUGUCUGUCUUGUGGAUGUUGGUGACCAAAUUGGAUAGUCCCUGUGCCCUAAUGAUGUUGAGGAUGUCUGGGACCCCCUUCCCACCGUUCUCAACUGCAUUGUAAAGUGUGCUGCGCUUGAGUCACUUCAUCUGUCUCCCCCAGAGAAAGGUGAACAUCAUGCAUUCUAUCUUCUUGCUGAUGGCUCUGUCUGGGGGAAACACCCUGCCUAGGUACAGGAGGAGAAUGGAGAGAACGAUUGCCUUCAAGAGCAGGAUCGUACCCGUCAUUGUGAGGGAUCAUGAGCUUCAUUCACAGUCUUGGACAUGGCGGAUGGUCUCCUCUCAGCUGACGGAGCCAUCUCCAUCCCUCUGGAAGGUGACCCCAAGCAGCUUGAUGGUGUCUGUUUUGACAGGGAAAGAGGUGUAUAAAAGACACCUGUCCACAACCUCAGUCACACUCCAAACUCCACUAUGGCCAAGACCAAAGAGCUGUCAAAGGACACCAGAAACAAAAUUGUAGACCUGCACCAGGCUGGGAAGACUGAAUCUGCAAUAGGUAAGCAGCUUGGUUUGAGAGGGGUCUGGUUGAAGUUAUUUAUUCCAAAGCUGAUCUGACCUAUUUGGAUAACAAGUUACUAGCUAGACAUUUUACGAUUUUGGGUGUGUUUGUAAAUUCAGUGCCAGAGUGCACUCUGAGAGAUCGUAAAUCCAGAGCGUUGUCAGAUUGUCCGUUCGUAAAUUCAGAGCAUUUCGCCACAAUUGACCUCCGGGUCUAGGGCUUCCUUGAGUGGGCGCUUUCUCCUCAGGUUGUCCUUCCUCCCCUCUGCAGAUGCAGCACCAGUCCCAGCACCAGACCACCAGACGAGGCGCAGACGAGAGACCAAAGAUCACACCUUCACCCUAGAGCUAGCAUGCCACAGGGAAGUACCACUAUUGACCUCUGGGCCUAAGGCUCCCUUGUGAUUCUGCUUGCUCCUCAGGUUGUCUUUCUUCCCCUCUACAGAUCCCAGCCCAACAACAGUUCCCGGCUCUUGGUUCCCAGUUCCUGUUCUCUCCCAGGCCCACAGUCCCAGCACCAGACCCGGCACCAAACGCUGGUUUUCCAGCCCUGGUCCCAAAACAAUUUCCAACCCGGCCCCAACACCAACCCAGGUUUUCCCGUUCCCAGCCCCAACACCAGCACCAACCCUGGACAAAACACCGACCAGACACAACUGCCAUCUUCAUCCAGCAAAUGCCAGCUCCGACCGCCCACUUAACACAGCGACAUACACUCCACCAACCACUCCACCAGACCAACCAUGACUGACUGACCGACUGAUUGACAAAUUGACGCUGAUGAUUAUUACGUUAUUUGAACAAAUGCAUUUGGUUAUUUUCAUUUUAUUUAUUUUUUUGGUAAUUGUUUGUUGAUUUUUGAUUUGAUUAACUUAAGUUGGAUUGAUCAUUUAUUGUUUUAAUUGUUUAUUAUUUUUGAAGAUUAACUCAAGUUUAUUUUAACAUUUUAACAUGUAUUGACUUGGAAUAACCAAAUAAAUAUUCCUUAAAAUUAAACUAUGCCAAUACAAUACGUAUAGCAUAAGCCUUCACUUUGGUGGUCUAGUUUUACGCUAACACAGUGGUAUUAGAAAACUCCUGGCUUACAGGCCAAAUCAGGGUUGAAAGUCACUAUGAUGUUGCAAGCCACAAGUGAUGAGUAAUUCCUAUUGGAAUCCAGCAAGAGUGAGGAUUUCAAACAGUUUGAAUUUUUUGUCACCCGUAUCCUGCAUUCAGAAUGACUGUCAGUGUUCGGAAAGGUGAAAAGAAGACUACCGACACCAGUUAAACUGGAACAAACAUUUCAGUAACUGGUGCAAUAAAUCAAACUAACUGAUUGGAUUUCGUUUAGAAAAAUAUGUUAUUUAUCUUCGUCUUGCAUAAGAUUAAUCUAUCAAUCAAUGUACAUUCAAAAACAUAGAUAUUAAAAACAUUCAAAAAUAAAUCUACCCGCAGUAGAGCAUAAUGUGAAAUAUGACUGAUUGGCGUGGUUUUGAUGGGACUGUUUUACUUUCCACAGGGUAAAAUAAUAACUCUGGUUAUUAACACCAACACUUUUACACCACUGAGGGUUAGUUUCACUCUUACAGAAUGAAUGUAACUCUUGAAUCGACACUAGACAUUUUACACUGAAAAAAUCAACACUGGCCAAUUUGCUGUGCAGGAAAUAUUUCUGAAUAUUUAUAACUCAAUAACCAAACCAAUUAAACCACAUGUUUGUGUUGCUUUUAGUGAUGUUUUCUUUUAUCAUUUCGUGACAGAGAGCUGAGGUCAUUCAGAACAUCAUAUGUCAUGUGAGGUGUUUAUAAUGGAUGUUAUUAAGUAUUUAUUACCACUAGCCUGGGUUUUUCAAUUAUCUUUAUUCUUCUUUCAUAUUUGAUGUAGUUAUGUAUAAACAUGAUGAGGUUAUAACCCAUUAAUAUAUUAGCUUUUUCAAUUAUAUAAAAAUAUGUCUGCCUAUAUUAUGUCAAAGCAAACAUUGCCUGUUGAUGUGGUAGAGCUCUUUUUCCCCACUCUAUUUAUACCCCACAUAAAUGUU